UCUCGAUAGAACGAAGAAGAAAAAAGAACAUCCGUACCGUAGGACACCAACCAUACCUCUUUCUACCAAACGCAUCAAAAAAUGUGUUUUUACUGCGGAAAUCCAGCAAAUAUUGAGAGAAAUGCAGAAAGGACGAUACGUUCUAACAACUAUAUCAGAUAACUGCGGAUUUUCGGCCAAAAAAUUCGGUGUCUUUGGUUGAGCGAGACAGAGAUCCAAGAGGGAGAGGAUAAAGGGCUAAAAAUCAGUUCCCCUCCCGCUAUCGCUGAAGAGAGAAGCUGUUGUUCUUAACGAACAAGGUAUAUUUUUCUCUUCGAUUUGGGUUAUUUCUUGGCUUUUCGUUUGCGUUUCAGAAUAAUACCAGAUCAUGGCGUUAGAGAAAGAACUCAAGAUUUGGAGGACUGAUGAGGAACCCGACCCGAACUCUUCCUACUUGCAGAAAUUCAGAAUCUACGAGACUCGCUCGAUUGGGCAGAGUCAUCCCACUGGUCUAACAUCCAACCUGUUGAAGCUUUUUGAGCCUCGACCGCCUUUGGAGUUUAAACCGCCUCCAGAGAAGAGAAAAUGCCUGUCAUUAACAGGGAUGGCGUAAUUUGUGAGUAGGUUUGCUGAGCCUGUAGAUCCUGAAUAUGCUCCGCCUGUCCAAGACGCUGAAACUCCUGUACAAAGAAGGGCUAGAGUACACACGUUAAGACUAGAGAAGGGUGCAGCAAAGGCUGCGAGGAGCUACAUAAAUGUGAAGACACACCACUUUGUUUUACUUCAAGGUUUUGGAGUUCAAAUGGGUUCAGUAUAUUUGUUCUUACAAGUACUUUGACAUAGAUAAUUCAAAUGAACACCCAAAUAUUUCUGGAGACCCAUACAAGAAAUUGUUCGUGGCUAGACUUAUAUGAAAUGCAAGUCGUUCAAAACAUUGGGAGGAGCUUACAUACUUCUUUUGGAGUUGAAAGUCAAGCUGCCAAGAGGCAGAAGCUGGAGGGAGGUUACUUGCAUAAGGUUACAAGCAUAAACUAGCAAACCAAUUUGGUCCGCAAGCCACCUAAAAGGGUAUAUUACCCUUUCUUGAUGCUUGAGAAUUUUUAUCAGACCAAUUACUAUUGAUAAUUGCAACAAUAAUUGUACGAAAGUCUCACCUUUUGCUUGUGCAUGGAUGAUCCGACCAACUACAGGUGAACAGUUUCCAAUUUUAUUUUUUUUUAAUCAAUAUGAAGUCAGACUUUCAUUGGUAUGUCCAGUUUCUUAGAAUGGCUUGUUUAUUUAUGUCUGUCCAUUACUGAAAUAAGUGUCCUUUUUAAUUUUCUAAAAGUAAUGACAAGUUAAUGAACGUCAGUGUUUUACAUUAACUUGAUAGGAUAAUUUUGGUGUGUGAUAAGUGCCACUUUAUCUCCUGCCUAUACAACAACUACACAAAACAUAAGACUUGGUUGACCAGUUGGUUCUAUUAUGCAUUUCUUAUUUACGAAGUAUGUUGGUCUUGGUUGAUUGUCAUUUCUGUGGAGGGAACAAAAAAUUUUGAGAGAGAAAAAAAAAAAUAAUGGCCAGACAAUGAGAAACAAAAAAAUGGCUUGAAUUUGAAAGGAAAAAAAAAAGGUUUAAACAGAGCCAGAUAUUCCCGUCCGUUUCAUCUAAUAACUUUUCUCUUCUUUCUUUUUUAUUUAUUUAUUUAUUUAUUUAUUUUUUCAAUUAUAUCCUCUGAUAAAACAUUUAAAAUACAAAAACAAAGACAAAAAAAUCAAUACCCAUUGGCUGGCCAUGAAGGUUGACUGGCCAUGAAAGGAGGACAUUUAAUAGAUCAAAGACAAAUAUAAUGUAAUAUGCUUGCACUGUUUUUCUCUUGUAGAUGUCUGACUUUAAUACAUUGGAUUUGAAUUUUCUUGCAAUGUGGAAAUUCUUCAUUUGCGCUUAAUGUAGGAUUCAUGCUAUGCUGUUGUCUCAUAGCCAGGAACUCACUUUCUGGUUUAAGGACUUGCAUAGAGGUAUCCAGUUACAUGCAUGACCGGGGGUUUCCAUGUUGCCCAGAUCCCUGGUUGCGCCAAGUUCGAUUAUGGAAGACAAUGGGAAAGCUGAUAUAGAAUUUACUGUAAGCAUUUCAAUUCUUUUUUCCUUUUGAUUUUUUUGUAACUGCUUGGUGAAGGUGUUGUAGCUCCAGUGAGAUUCAAACCAGGUUGUGGAAUCAUAGAGCAUGCUUGUAAAGUUUUUGCUAUUCAUGGCAACAUUAUUUAUUGUAAGCAUCAUAGCUUUUCAAAGUUCAUGAUGCAUUUUAGUGAAGAAAUUUUUAUUUGGAAUUACAA